GAUCCACACACUCAGGUCAAAAUGAUGAUAGAGUCACUGCAGAGGAGUCGACCCGUCUGAUCGUCGCCGCGUGGACGCACAACUAGAUUCUCCACUCCAGCAUGAAGUGAUCUCGCUCCCUCUCUCAAUCAUUCCCAGCUGACUGCAGGGGGGGAAAUUAUCAUCACUGCCUCUGAAGCAUCAACAUGAAAGCUGAAUUUUCUUCAUCACUCGCAGCAAAAGGAUUUUUUUUUCUUCUGUGGGCACAAUAUACUUUAAAGACCCUGUGAGGUUGAACACUAUUUUGGUCUUAGAGCAAAAUGACUUCAGGUGAGGGCUGGAAUCAGUGGUGCUGGUGUGAUCGGCAUACUGAGUGACAGCGCGGCAAUAAAGCGGGAGGAGACAAGGUCAGAGAGAGCUGGUGGGAUGAAAGGAAGAUGAAUUUAAAAUGAAAUCAUCAACAUGAGUAAAGAAAAGGCAAGCGUCCAAAAAGGACAGAUUUAAGAAUCCAUCCUAAAAGCGAAUCCGUUAGUGCUGAAACCUAAGGGACAGCUUUGGCAAAUGUCAAUUCUAAGCCGUCACAGACAAAAGCCACUUAAAUACUGUGAAGAAGAGACACGAUGAGGAAGACGAGGCAGAUGCUACACGAUGAAGGUGCUGCUAGUGUAGCAUUAGCUGAGGGAGAGACGCCUGCAGCCAAAUGUGAAACCUCAUCGUUAGUCGCAGCGGUCGUCCAGAACCACUCCACUCACCUGCUCGCUGCCUGCCUGCACACCUGCUCCGAAUUCCCUCAGAAGUUCCCCUCAGCAGCUGCACCAGUCGUUCUCACGUUGUUUUCAGAUUAAGUGCUGCUGUAGUCAGCUCCCCGCUCGCAAAACCAGCCCAGGUCCCGUCGUGCGGCCUGUGUGACCCUCUACAUGUUGUGGUUCUAUAAACUCCAGUCAAUCAAGGACAACGCCUCUACCCACAACCCACGAGGUGCUCAAUCAGCGGGCGGCUGAUCAAUACAUCUCAUUUCAAACCCACGCGCUUGACUUAUUAUUUUUUUU
rnacentral:lncRNA from 1 species